rnacentral:rRNA from 1 species
CGGUAAUUCCAGCUCCAAUAGCGUAUACUAAAGUUGUUGCAGUUAAAAAGCUCGUAGUUGGAUUUCUGCGGGGACGGAGCGGCCGGACGCAACUUGCGUCUCGAGCUAGCGCUUUCCCCACAUCCUGCCGCGAACCGUGCUACCAUUAGCUUGGUGGCGCUGGGGAUCGGCUCGAUUACUUUGAGAAAAAUAGAGUGUUCAAAGCAGGCCACACGCCUUGAAUAAGUUAGCAUGGAAUAAUGAUUAAGGACUUCGGUUCUAUUUUGUUGGUGUUCGGGACUGAAGUAAUGAUUGAUAGGGACAGUUGGGGCGGUCUGUAUUCCAAAGCGAGAGGUGAAAUUCUUAGACCUUCGGAAGACAAACAGCUGCGAAAGCGUUCCGCAAGGAUGUUCCCUUUGAUCAAGAACGAAAGUUGGGGGAUCGAAGACGAUCAGAUACCGUCGUAGUCUCAACUAUAAACUAUACCAGCUAGGGAUCGGCCAACGUUUAACUUUAUCGACUUGGUCGGCACCUUAUGAGAAAUCAAAGCAUCUGGGUUCCGGGGGGAGUAUGGUCGCAAGGCUGAAACUUAAAGGAAUUGACGGAAGGGCACCACCAGGCGUGGAGCCUGUGGCUUAAUUUGACUCAACACGGGAAAACUUACCAGGUCCAGACAUAGGAAGGAUUGACAGAUUGAUAGCUCUUUCUUGAUUCUGUGGGUGGUGGUGCAUGGCCGUUUUUAGUCGGUGAUUUGUCUGCUUAAUUGCGUUAACGGACGAGACCCCAGCCUGCUAAAUAGCGCGGCCGAGCUUUGCUCGGUGCGAGCUUCUUAGAGGGACCAUGAUGCGCGAUAGCACAAGGAAGUUUGGGGCAACAACAGGUCUGUGAUGCCCUUAGAUGUUCUGGGCCGCACACGGGCUACACUGGCGCCUGCAACGAGCAUAUCAGCUGGCCCGAGAGGGUCUUGGCUAAUCUUUGGAACCGGCGCCGUGCUUGGGAUUGACCAUUGCAAUUGUUGGUCAUGCAACGAGGAAUGCCUUGUAAACGCGAGUCAUCAGCUCGCAUUGAAUACGUCCCUGCCCUUUGUACACACCGCCCGUCGCUCCUACCGAUGAAUGUUCCGAUGAAAUUUUCGGAGAGCGCCAGAGAACGGGGCUCUGCCUCGCAGAUCUGGAGGCUCAAAGUCACUUAAAUCUGAACAUUUCGAGGAAGGAGAAGUCGUAACAAGGUAACC